GACGAACGCUGGCGGCGUGCUUAACACAUGCAAGUCGAACGAGUGGCGAACGGGUGUGUAAUACGUGAGUAACCUGCCCUCUAUCUGGGAUAAGCUUUGGAAACGGGGGCUAAUAACGGAUAAAGGGGGAUGGGCACGCGGCCUAUGAGCUUGUUGGUGGGGUGAUGGCCUACCAAGGCGGUGACGGGUAGGCAGCAUGAGAGGGUGAACGGGGACAUUGAGACGGAGAAGCGGCCCAGACUCCUACGGAGGGCGGAAGUGGGGGAAAUUGGACAAUGGGCGAACGCCCGAUGCAGCGACGAUGAGUGGGGGAUGAAGGCUGUCGGGUUGUAAACCUAUUUCGGUAUAGAAGGGUAGCUGCAGAAGAAGCGCCGGCUAACUACGUGCCAGCAGCCGCGGUAAUAC
rnacentral:rRNA from 1 species